rnacentral:misc_RNA from 1 species
AGACAUCCAACCAGCAAGAGGUGCAGGAACUGGAGCUGCCGUGGGCUGAAAAGGCCCAUGCGCACCAAGAGGAGGAAAACCUCCAGGUUUGGGUAAGGAUCCAAGAAGCGGAUUGUUUGCAGGAGACGGAGCCCGCGCACCAUUUGGUUGCCCACAAGAAUGAUCCACAAAGAGGGUUUUAAUAUCUGGAUUUGGUCUAGGGUUUUUACAAAGUUGAUG